GACGAACGCUGGCGGCGUGCUUAACACAUGCAAGUCGAACGGAAAGGCCCUGCUUUUGUGGGGUGCUCGAGUGGCGAACGGGUGAGUAACACGUGAGUAACCUGCCCUUGACUUUGGGAUAACUUCAGGAAACUGGGGCUAAUACCGGAUAGGAGCUCCUGCUGCAUGGUGUGGGUUGGAAAGUUUCGGCGGUUGGGGAUGGACUCGCGGCUUAUCAGCUUGUUGGUGGGGUAGUGGCUUACCAAGGCUUUGACGGGUAGCCGGCCUGAGAGGGUGACCGGCCAAAUUGGGACUGAGAUACGGACCAGACUCCAACGGGAGGCAGCAGUGGGGAAUAUUGCACAAUGGGCGGAAGCCUGAUGCAGCAAAGCCGCGUGCGGGAUGACGGCCUUCGGGUUGUAAACAGCUUUCGCCUGUGACGAAGAGUGAGUGACGGUAAUGGGUAAAGAAGCACCGGCUAACUACGUG
rnacentral:rRNA from 1 species